CGGACGGGUGAGUAAUGUCUGGGAAACUGCCUGAUGAGGGGGAUAACACUGGAAACGGUAGCUAAUACCGCAUAACGUCGCAAGACCAAAGAGGGGGACCUUAGGGCCUCUUGCCAUCGGAUGUGCCCAGAUGGGAUUAGCUAGUAGGUGGGGUAAUGGCUCACCUAGGCGACGAUCCCUAGCUGGUCUGAGAGGAUGACCAGCCACACUGGAACUGAGACACGGUCCAG
rnacentral:rRNA from 1 species